rnacentral:tRNA from 1 species
UGCGAGGUCUGCUAACGGCAGGCAAGCGGACUCUGAAUCCGUUAAUCCAGGUUCGAAUCCUGGCCUCGCAA